CCUCGAAUCAGGUGGGACUACCCGCUGAACUUAAGCAUAUCAAUAAGCGGAGGAAAAGAAACUAACAAGGAUUCCCCUAGUAACGGCGAGUGAAGCGGGAUGAGCUCAAAUUUAAAAUCUGAUAGUCUUUGGCUGUCCGAGUUGUAAUCUAGAGAAGUGUUUUCCGCGUUGGACCAUGUACAAGUUUCCUGGAACGGAACGUCAUAGAGGGUGAGAAUCCCGUCCUUGACAUGGACUACCAGUGCUUUGUGAUACACUCUCAACGAGUCGAGUUGUUUGGGAUUGCAGCUCAAAAUGGGAGGUAAAUUCCUUCUAAAGCUAAAUAUUGGCGAGAGACCGAUAGCGAACAAGUACCGUGAGGGAAAGAUGAAAAGCACUUUGGAAAGAGAGUUAAACAGUACGUGAAAUUGUUAAAAGGGAAACGAUUGAAGUCAGUCGCGUUUACUUGGACUCAGCCUUACCUCGGUUUGGUGCAUUUCCUUGUGAACGGGCCAGCGUCAAUGUUGUCCGUUGGAAAAGGGUUGGAGAAAUGUGGCUCUUUCGGGAGUGUUAUAGUCUCUGAUCGUAUACAACGGCUGAUAUUGAGUGGUACAGCAUGCUUCGGCGGUGCUUGUGCUGGCAU
rnacentral:rRNA from 1 species